rnacentral:rRNA from 1 species
CCUACGGGUGGCAGCAGUGAGGAAUAUUGGUCAAUGGGCGCGAGCCUGAACCAGCCAAGUAGCGUGAAGGAUGACUGCCCUACGGGUUGUAAACUUCUUUUAUAAAGGAAUAAAGUGAGACACGUGUGCCUUUUUGUAUGUACUUUAUGAAUAAGGAUCGGCUAACUCCGUGCCAGCAGCCGCGGUAAUACGGAGGAUCCGAGCGUUAACCGGAUUUGUUGGGUUUAAAGGUAGCGUAGAUGGGUUGUUAAGUCAGUUGUGAAAGUUUGCGGCUCAAACGUAAAAUUGCAAUUGAUACUGGCAGUCUUGAGUACAGUUGAGGUAGGCGGAAUUCGAGGUGGAGCGGUGAAAUGCUUAGAUAUCACGAAGAACACCGAUUGCGAAGGCAGCUUACUAAACUGCCACUGACAUUGAGGGUCGAAAGUGUGGGUAGCAAACAGGAUUAGAUACCCCUGUAGUC